rnacentral:rRNA from 1 species
AUGAAGCCGGAAUUGCUAGUAAUGGCAGGUCAGCAUACUGCCGUGAAUACGUUCCCGGGCCUUGUACACACCGCCCGUCACACCAUGAGAGUUGGGAAUACCCGAAGCCUGUGAGCUAACCUUUAGAGGCAGCAGUCGAAGGUAGAAUCAAUGAUUGGGGUGAAGUCGUAACAAGGUAGC